UGCAUCUUUAAUGUUAAUCAUGAAACACCCCUUUGCAUUUAAUAGAGCUCUUGUUUUGGUGUUAUGGAAAAAUCUUGAUUUUUAGUUAAAACCAUUCAAUUUGGUGUUUCAAUAUGAAAAUGUCCUUGAGUACCAGGUGUUUUCUCAAGGCUGAGCAGUGUUUAGUAAUUCUCACCCAUCUGUUCAGGAAAUGAAAACUACUCAGGUUACAUAUGUCCUCUCCUGUUGGCACAGCUGCCUCUUUCAUAUGAUGCCAUUUCAUGUAAAUGACUUGAGCUUCAACCUCCAGAUGCUUGUGCUGUUGUGGGAGGACAGAAAUGCCUCUGUGAAUGCACUGGCUUACUUAAAGAGAUAUCUGGCCCUCAACUUUUCAUAGUGAAUGAGGCAAGAUAGUUUUCAACCGUGGGGACAACUGGAGACCAUCCUUACAUUUGCAAUAUAGAAACAGUCUAAGUAAACCUGCACUGCUGGGUAGUAGGAUUGGACUCAGGCCACCAGAUCUGCCUGCCUGCAAGUGCACUUGUGGACCCACUUCAGUCAC
rnacentral:lncRNA from 1 species